CCAAAGUGUUACUUGGUUGGUUAUGGUACAAGACAUUGGACACGGAUACAAUAUUUUUUAUACUUUGCACGUGGUUUGUGAAGAUUGUAUUAUAGCUGCAUUGACAAUAUUUUAGGCUGAAAAUAUCUGCCCGCUAAAAUGUUGUCUAUGUUAUGGUGAAGCCAUGGAGAAGAACACACUGUUCAACAUAUGAGGGAUUAUUUUUGGAAGUUAGUAGUAUGCUUGCACAAGAAACGAACGAACUUAAGAAGGAUCAGCUUGCUGAGAAAUCACCUAUUAAAGAGUUUGCCUUGCAAAAAAUCUGGGAAUACAUCAGGUCAAGGAAAUUAGGAAUGGUAAGGAGGCAAGGA